GGGUUUAGUAUCAAGUAGAUAUCUGCCUACAAGGUAAGGCCACUAAUUGAGGAUAUCAUAAGUUCAUUAAUCAUUAACGUCUUGGGUUUAGCCUUAUUUUUCUUCAAGACAGAGAAAAAAUUUAUGCAAUGAUCUUACCAAAAGUUAAUCUAAUUAACAAGCGUCAAUGUUCAAAGAGUUCCUAUUUCCAUAUGAUUUAAAGAGGAUUAUGAAAGGAAUACACAUAAAAUAAAGGUUACAAAUUUUUGGCCCUUUUAAUAUAGCCAACUAAGAGGACAGCACAUUACCAUUCAAUAAGCUUCUCAA